rnacentral:rRNA from 1 species
AUUGAACGCUGGCGGCAAGCCUAACACAUGCAAGUCGAACGAGUGGCGGACGGGUGAGUAAUGUCUGGGAAACUGCCUGAUGGAGGGGGAUAACUACUGGAAACGGUAGCUAAUACCGCAUACCAUCGGAUGUGCCCAGAUGGGAUUAGCUAGUAGGUGGGGUAAAGGCUCACCUAGGCGACGAUCCCUAGCUGGUCUAAGAGGAUGACCAGCGACACUGAAACUGAGACACAGUCCAAAGUCCUACGGGAGGCAGCAGGUGGGAAUAUUGCACAAUGAGCGCAAGCCUGAUGCAGCCAUGCCGGGUGUAUGAAGAAGGCCUUCGGGUUGUAAAGUACUUUCAGCGGGGAGGCGUUACCCGCAGAAGAAGCACCGGCUAAAUCCGUGCCAGCCGCCGCGGUAAUUC